AGGACUGUAGCUCAGUGGCAGACCAUCUGCUUUGAAUACAGAAGAUCCCAGAUUUAAUUCCUGGCCCUGGCCUUU